UGUAUAUAAAUGGCCAAAGGAGGAGAGAUGCUGAGCUGUGCUUCCAGCGUUCACACCAUUUCCAUAGCAGUGCCCAGAGAAUCAAAGCCUUCCAUUAAUGUCGUCCGAAAUAAGAUCUAAACAGGACAUCUUGGGCAUAUGAAUUAAAUUAGUGCUCAGCACUACACUUUGCUUUCCUAGAGGGGACAUUCUACAAAUUGCUCUUCAAAUCCCACAUCAGAAACUAAAGAGCUCAUCAGACCUUCGUCUGAAAUGUAAUUGUGCUGAGAGCCAGGUGUGGUCAAAGGCGCAGGCUAGGAAAAGAGGCAGCUGAAAACACCCUAACUAAAAUGGGCGAGCUCCGUCAGACUUUUACACCGUCUGAAAUGAGAAGACUGAUCGUUGUAAUUGCCAAAGACAUUAUAGCUUCUGCCGGCUCCGAAGUUGCUUCCAUCAUUACUGAAUCGGUUAUGGCUGUCCCCAUUGCCACUAUAUCCACCACCUGGACUGCCACCAAAGCCACCUCACCAGUGAAAGUUCCUCCAUGA
rnacentral:lncRNA from 1 species